GCCAUACCGCGUGGGUGAAGAAGGCCUUCGGGUUGUAAAGCCCUUUUGUUGGGAAAGAAAAGCAGUCGGCUAAUACCCGGUUGUUCUGACGGUACCCAAAGAAUAAGCACCGGCUAACUUCGUGCCAGCAGCCGCGGUAAUACGAAGGGUGCAAGCGUUACUCGGAAUUACUGGGCGUAAAGCGUGCGUAGGUGGUUGUUUAAGUCUGUUGUGAAAGCCCUGGGCUCAACCUGGGAAUUGCAGUGGAUACUGGGCGACUAGAGUGUGGUAGAGGGUAGUGGAAUUCCCGGUGUAGCAGUGAAAUGCGUAAAGAUCGGGAGGAACAUCCAUGGCGAAGGCAGCUACCUGGACCAACACUGACACUGAGGCACGAAAGCGUGGGGAGCAAACAGGAUUAGAUACCCUGGUAGUCCACGCCCUAAACGAUGCGAACUGGAUGUUGGGUGCAAUUUGGCACGCAGUAUCGAAGCUAACGCGUUAAGUUCGCCGCCUGGGGAGUACGGUCGCAAGACUGAAACUCAAAGGAAUUGACGGGGGCCCGCACAAGCGGUGGAGUAUGUGGUUUAAUUCGAUGCAACGCGAAGAACCUUACCUGGUCUUGACAUGUCGAGAACUUUCCAGA
rnacentral:rRNA from 1 species